rnacentral:piRNA from 1 species
UAACCUAAGAGGAUGAAGGAUGAGCAUCC